rnacentral:rRNA from 1 species
CGAAGGGGACUAGCGUUGUUCGGAAUCACUGGGCGUAAAGCGCACGUAGGCGGAUUUGUAAGUCAGGGGUGAAAUCCCGGGGCUCAACUCCGGAACUGCCAUUGAAACUGUUUAGCUUGAGGAUGAGAGAGGUAAGUGGAAUUCCGAGUGUAGAGGUGAAAUUCGUAGAUAUUCGGAAGAACACCAGUGGCGAAGGCGACUUACUGGACACAUAUUGACGCUGAGGUGCGAAAGCGUGGGGAGCAAACAGG